rnacentral:rRNA from 1 species
ACUUCGGUACAUCGGUGACAGGUGGUGCAUGGUUGUCGUCAGCUCGUGUCGUGAGAUGUUGGGUUAAGUCCCGCAACGAGCGCAACCCCUAUUGUUAGUUGCCAUCAUUCAGUUGGGCACUCUAGCGAGACUGCCGGUAAUAAACCGGAGGAAGGUGGGGAUGACGUCAAAUCAUCAUGCCCCUUAUGACCUGGGCUACACGCGUGCUACAAUGGUUGGUACAACGAGUUGCGAGUCGGUGACGGCGAGCUAAUCUCCUAAAGCCAAUCUCAGUUCGGAUUGUAGGCUGCAACUCGCCUACAUGAAGUCGGAAUCGCUAGUAAUCGCGGAUCAGCACGCCGCGGUGAAUACGUUCCCGGGCCUU